rnacentral:misc_RNA from 1 species
UUUUUUUGUUAUAUUUUUGUUACAUUCUUUACUUGGUGUUUAAAGUGAGCCGCAGAAGCUUUCGAACCUAGAAGAUUCUUCCGCUUCCGCCAAAUAGUGCACAGAGUUAGAAAGUGGAGGUCGCGCUCUCCGAAGAAAUACGCUAAAUUCACUAAUGAUCCUUCCGCAGGUUCACCUACGGAAA